AUUGAACGCUGGCGGCAGGCCUAACACAUGCAAGUCGAACGAGUGGCGGACGGGUGAGUAAUGUCUGGGAAACUGCCUGAUGGAGGGGGAUAACUACUGGAAACGGUAGAUAAUACCGCAUACCAUCGGAUGUGCCCAGAUGGGAUUAGGUAGUAGGUGGGGUAACGGCUCACCUAGGCGACGAUCCCUAGUUGGUCUGAGAGGAUGAACAGGCACACUGGGACUGAGACACGGUCCAGACUCCUACGGAAGGCAGCAGUGGAGAAUAUUGCACAAUGGGCGCAAGCCUGAUGAAGCCAUGCCGCGUGUAUGAAUAAGGCCUUCGGGUUGUAAAGUACUUUCAGCGGGGAGGCGUUAACCGCAGAGUAAGCACCGGCUAACUCCGUGCCAGCCGCCGCGGUAAUUC
rnacentral:rRNA from 1 species